rnacentral:lncRNA from 1 species
GGGGAAUUCCUUGGGGGGGGUCUCCGUGCUCCCUUCGCUGUGAGGACAGCAUGGGGACAAUGUGGGGACAACGUGGGGACAGCGUGGGGACAACAUGGGGAUAGCAUGGGGACAAUUUGGGGACAAUGUGGGGACAACAUGUAGGCAGCUUGGGGACAGCUUGGGGACAGUGUGGGGACAAUGUGGGGACAACAUGUGGGCAGCUUGGGGACAGCUUGGGGACAAUGUGGGGACAACUGUUGGGCCACCUGGGGGCAGCACGGGGCCAAUUUGGGGACAGUUCGGGGACAAUGUGGGGACAGCACGGGGACAAUGUGGGGACAGCUGGCGGGCCAUAGGGGCGCAGCGCGCAGCCGGCGCUCGGGUGGC